UGGGGAAUAUUGCGCAAUGGGGGAAACCCUGACGCAGCAACGCCGCGUGAAGGAUGAAGGUCUUCGGAUUGUAAACUUCUAUCGAUGGGGACGAACAAAUGACGGUACCCAAGUAAGAAGCCCCGGCUAACUACGUGCCAGCAGCCGCGGUAAUACGUAGGGGGCAAGCGUUAUCCGGAAUUACUGGGUGUAAAGGGUGAGUAGGCGGCUUGACAAGUCAUAUGUGGAAAUCCAGGGCUCAACUCUGGACGUGCAUAAGAAACUGUCGGGCUUGAGUGUGGGAGAGGUAAGCGGAAUUCCUAGUGUAGCGGUGAAAUGCGUAGAUAUUAGGAAGAACACCAGUGGCGAAGGCGGCUUACUGGACCACAACUGACGCUGAAUCACGAAAGCGUGGGGAGCAAACA
rnacentral:rRNA from 1 species